CGGAUUCGGAUAUUACACUUAAUGCAAAUUUUGGAAUAUUAUAAUAUCAAAUAGAAUACUCUAGUGAGCGUUCAAUAGAUUAUAAACUGCUAGUACCGUAACUUAGAUAUUGGAAGGAUACUUGAAAAUGGAAGACGAUUUGUUCAACAUUCUAAAGUGUCUUCAUAUUUAAAAAAAAAAAAAACCAUUGCAAAGUGUCUUCUCCUCAAGCUGUUAUACAUGUUAGGGAAUGUUGUGAAACAAUAAUGUUUUAUGUUUGAUUCCAUGAGAGAGAAAAUCCUUAGAGAGGUUCUUAUUCCAUAAUGCCUAGGUUGUAUGCAUAAUGGCUCUUGGGAUCUUUUUGGCAGUCAUGUGUAUCUUGCCUUAGAAACACUUGGUGAUUGCAUAUAAAUUUUUUCUUUGUACUUUUAGAGUGAGUAAUUGUUCAUUAUUAUGCUUUGCAUAUGAUUUGUUUUUUCGUACUAUCUGAAUAGGGUGGCUGGGAGGAUGAUGAAACUGUUGAGGAGUCUGCAGCAAGGGAAGCUAUCGAGGGAAGCUGGAGUCCGUGGGGAUCUAAUGGAUUUUUUUAGGAUAUUAUCACUUCAAGAGCAAAACUCACCAGGAUGAGUUUAGUCCAGAAGGUUUAUGUAAAGCUGCAGUGUUUGCUUUGUUUGUAAAAGAGGAGCUCGAGUCAUGGCCUGAACAAAGCACCCGAACGAGGCAGUGACUAACCAUUCCCGAAGCAGUUCAAAGUUGCCGGUACCCAUGGAUGAAGGAGGUCUUGCAGGAUUGUUUCUGUAAGUGGUUUGAAGAAAAGAUGGCAAGAGGAGGGGAUAUAUCCACUCAAAUUUGAUUUUGUUAGGUGUGAAUAAAUCAAAAAACUUUCUAGGGUUUGUUCUUGCAUAUAUCUAUAUAUAUAUAUAUAUCAUUUGGUCAAGAAGAAAAAGGGUAUUAAUGAGAUAUAGGUGUUUUUGAACUUCA